rnacentral:rRNA from 1 species
CCUACGGGAGGCAGCAGUGAGGAAUAUUGGUCAAUGGACGAGAGUCUGAACCAGCCAAGUAGCGUGAAGGAUUACUGCCCUAUGGGUUGUAAACUUCUUUUAUGAAGGAAUAAAACGAGGCACGUGUGCCUUUUUGCAUGUACUUUAUGAAUAAGGAUCGGCUAACUCCGGGCCAGCAGCCGCGGUAAUACUGAGGAUUCGAGCGUUAUCCGGAUUUGUUGGGUUUAAAGGGAGCGUAGAUGGGUUGUUAAGUCAGUUGUGAAAGUUUGCGGCUCAACCGUAAAAUUGCAAUUGAUACUGGCAGUCUUGAGUACAGUUGAGGUAGGCGGAAUGCGUGGUGUAGCGGUGAAAUGCUUAGAUAUCACGAAGAACCCUGAUUGCGAAGGCAGCUUACUAAACUGUGACUGACAUUGAUGCUCGAAAGUGUGGGUAUCAAACAGGAUUAGAUACCCCGGUAGUC